rnacentral:rRNA from 1 species
AGUUGGGGGCAUCAGUAUUCUGAAGCGAGAGGUGAAAUUCUUGGACCUUCGGAAGACUAACAACUGCGAAAGCAUUUGCCUAGGAUGUUCUCUUUAAUCAAGAACGAAAGUUGGGGGAUCGAAGACGAUCAGAUACCGUCGUAGUCUCAACUAUAAACUAUGCCAGCUAGGGAUUGGUGGACGUUUAUUUACGACUCCAUCAGCGCCUUAUGAGAAAUCAAAGCAUUUGGGUUCCGGGGGGAGUAUGGUCGCAAGGCUGAAACUUAAAGGAAUUGACGGGAGGGCACCACUAGGAGUGGAGCCUGUGGCUUAAUUUGACUCAACACGGGAAAACUUACCAGGUCCGGACAUAGUAAGGAUUGACAGAUUGAUAGCUCUUUCU